rnacentral:rRNA from 1 species
AUACAGAGGUUGCAAGCGUUAUUCGGAAUUACUGGGCGUAAAGCGCGCGUAGGCGGAUGAUUAAGUCAGUUGUGAAAGCCCUGGGCUCAACCUAGGAACUGCAUCUGAUACUGGUCGUCUAGAGUUUAAGAGAGGGAAGUGGAAUUCCAGGUGUAGCAGUGAAAUGCGUAGAUAUCUGGAGGAACAUCAGUGGCGAAGGCGACUUCCUGGCUUAAAACUGACGCUGAGGUGCGAAAGCGUGGGUAGCGAACGGGAUUAGAAACCCCAGUAGUCC